rnacentral:tRNA from 1 species
GGGGGUGUAGCUCAGUUGGGAGAGCGCCUGCUUUGCAUGCAGUAUGUCGUCGGUUCGAUUCCGUCCACCUCCACCA